UUUCUGACAAAUUGCCAUCAGCUCAGAACUUUUCUGAUUCAUUUAAUUAUCUGUAAAAUUGUACAUUAUUUUGGUAAGAAUGAUGUUGAAGGUACAUUUUAAAACAAAUCGAUUUUCCCGUUUUGGAGGGAACUACACAAGUGGAAAAAUUUUGAAGAUCUGCAAAUGGUUGAAGAGUGAUGUUGGAGUUGAUCCAAACAAUCUGUCCCUUCAUCGGACACCAGAUCCUUCAGGCUCUACAUAAUUUGAACCUCCUUCUGAUUUUCUCCUUUCAUCUCCUGCAAAGACAGAAAAGGCUGAGGAGAGGAAGGAAGUGAGGACAGAAAAUUAAGCUUUUUAAGCUAUAAAAUAAUAACAGACAGGCGGCAAUGUGUUCUGUUUCCACUGUUAUUAAGAACAAAACAUUUAUAAAAGUUUUCAUACGUUUAUUAGUAGCUCAUGUAAGUCCUUCACUCCUUCACUCUGCCCACCGUGACUUAAGAU